AAGGAUGAUGAGGAGCUCUUUGCUGCUGAGAGUAUGCAGAUCUGCUUCUCAAAGAUGAUGAUUUCUUGUUCAAUCACAAAGAGUUCAUGAUGGUUCAGCACAGGUCCAAUCCUGAAUUCCUCAUCCGAUGGUCUAUAUCCUCUUCUUGUGAAAUCAGGUCCUUCUGUAAUCUUGUAUCGAGGUCAGUCUGAUCUUUCCUUUUAUAUUGCUGUUUUUUUUCUCAUGAGCAUAUUCCUCUUUUCUGUAUUAUCAGUGGUUAGUACAGUUGCUUAAUAGUGGAGAGGGUGCAUUCAAGUUGGUUCUAUGCAGGCGAGCUUCCAAAGGUUGUACCUGAAAUAAUCAUGAAUCGUAUGUGUUGAUAAGCAUAUAUAAGCAUUUUAGUUGAAUCAUACAUUUGACAGUGUAUAUGUGUUGUCAGGUGACAAAUCAUAGUCUCUAUCAUCUAAGCUCUGACAACCUACAUGAGUUCAUUGAGUGAUUGAGAAGGGCAUAAGGAAGACUGACCAGCUUACCCAGGUUGGAAGAAUUUCCUUGACUUUCAUCUGAGAUAAAAAGAAUCUGAUUCUGUUGCAUAAUGUGUUUCUGGAUAGCAUUUAAUUUCUACUACAACUUUCAGGAAAGGCAGCAAACAUGAAUGCUUGAUACAUGCCAAAUGCUUGAUUGGAGAGUUCAUCAAGGCCUUCCA
rnacentral:lncRNA from 1 species